rnacentral:rRNA from 1 species
UAGUACGAGAGGACCGGAGUGGACGAACCUCUGGUGUUCCGGUUGUGAUGCCAAUUGCAUUGCCGGGUAGCUAUGUUCGGAAAGGAUAACCGCUGAAAGCAUCUAAGCGGGAAGCCCCCCUCAAGAUUAGAUCUCACUGGGACUUUAAGUCCCCUGAAGAGCCCUCGAAGACUACGAGGUUGAUAGGCGGGAUGUGUAAGCGCUGUGAGGCGUUGAGCUAACCCGUACUAAUUGCUCGUGAGGCUUGAUCAUAUAU